rnacentral:rRNA from 1 species
AGGUGUAGCGGUGAAAUGCGUAGAGAUCUGGAGGAAUACCGGUGGCGAAGGCGGCCCCCUGGACAAAGACUGACGCUCAGGUGCGAAAGCGUGGGGAGCAAACAGGAUUAGAUACCCUGGUAGUCCACGCCGUAAACGAUGUCGACUUGGAGGUUGUGCCCUUGAGGCGUGGCUUCCGGAGCUAACGCGUUAAGUCGACCGCCUGGGGAGUACGGCCGCAAGGUUAAAACUCAAAUGAAUUGACGGGGGCCCGCACAAGCGGUGGAGCAUGUGGUUUAAUUCGAUGCAACGCGAAGAACCUUACCUACUCUUGACAUCCAGAGAACUUAGCAGAGAUGGUUUGGUGCCUUCGGGAACUCUGAGACAGGUGCUGCAUGGCUGUCGUCAGCUCGUGUUGUGAAAUGUUGGGUUAAGUCCCGCAACGAGCGCAACCCUUAUCCUUUGUUGCCAGCGGUCCGGCCGGGAACUCAAAGGAGACUGCCAGUGAUAAACUGGAGGAAGGUGGGGAUGACGUCAASUCCAUCAUGGCASYUUMCSAGAYAKKRCUACACMCGUSCKMCAMUGGCGCWYACMMAGAGAAGCRASCUCKCGWGWGCWASCGUUCGACYKCAUAAAGUGCGUCGUAGUCCGGAUUGGAGUCUGCAACUCGACUCCAUGAAGUCGGAAUCGCUAGUAAUCGUGGAUCAGAAUGCCACGGUGAAUACGUUCCCGGGCCUUGUACACACCGCCCGUCACACCAUGGGAGUGGGUUGCAAAAGAAGUAGGUAGCUUAACCUUCGGGAGGGCGCUA